rnacentral:lncRNA from 1 species
CAAAAACCUGUUUAUAGCACAGUCUAUUUCUUUCAUUUUCCUUGAAAAUACCAAACUGGUUGUUACAGAGACCCAAGGCUGAAAUAUUCCAAAGCAACAUUUCAGUCAUCCUUCCUCCCAGAUUCUUUUCUCUGCUGCAGUCAAUUCCCCCUUUUUCCAUUUGUAGAGACAAAAGGGAACAUUCUAUAACCACUGGCCUCUGUCCAGGAACACAGCAGAAAUAUAAAGCCCACAGUCAUGUCCUCCAGACUGGCUCUUCUGUCUGCUGAUUAGCUUUGAUACCAUCUUCAAUAGUUAGCCAGUGACUCCGGUGUCAGCAAAUUUCCUUCUUCUGUUAGAGAGAAGAAAAAGUGGAUGAGGAAGACCCUUUGGACAUCAUCAAAAGAGGCAUUGUUAGCAAAUGAGUGGGGGGCAGUCCUGAAAGCCUGCGAGGCUGUGAACAACUCUCCCACCUGCUCUUCUCUGUCUGUCCUACUCCUCAUGACAAUGACUCUUAUCCUGAGACAACUGUUCCCUAUGCUUUUCUCCUCCCUACCUUGUAGCGUCUCCUACUCUUUCAUAUUC